GCCGGAGUAGCUCAGGGGCUAGAGCAGCUGCCUUGUAAGCAGCAGGCCGUCGGUUCGAAUCCGACCUCCGGCU
rnacentral:tRNA from 1 species